rnacentral:rRNA from 1 species
GACGAACGCUGGCGGCGUGCUUAACACAUGCAAGUCGAGCGGGAAACUUCGGUUUCCAGCGGCGGACGGGUGAGUAACACGUGGGCAACCUGCCUCACAAUGAGGGAUAGCCUUCCGAAAGGAAGAUUAAUACCUCAUAACACAAGAGAAACGCAUGUUUCUUUUGUCAAAGAAUUUCGUUGUGAGAUGGGCCCGCGGCGCAUUAGCUAGUUGGUGAGGUAACGGCUCACCAAGGCUUCGAUGCGUAGCCGACCUGAGAGGGUGAUCGGCCACAUUGGAACUGAGACACGGUCCAGACUCCUACGGGAGGCAGCAGUGGGGAAUAUUGCACAAUGGAGGAAACUCUGAUGCAGCAACGCCGCGUGAGUGAUGAAGGUCUUCGGAUUGUAAAGCUCUGUCUUCUGGGAAGAUAAUGACGGUACCAGAGGAGGAAGCCACGGCUAACUACGUGCCAGCCGCCGCCGUAAUAC